rnacentral:rRNA from 1 species
AGCCUGAGGGCAAAAUCUUAGGUAAAUUCUGCCCACUGCAACGUAAAAGGCCGCAGUACUUUGACUGUGCUAAGGUAGCGAAAUCAUUAGGCUUUUAAAUGAAGCCCGGAAUGAAGGAAACCACGGAAAGGAGCUGUCUCUUUUUCCUGAAAGGAAGUUAGUUGUGGGGUGAAAACACCCCCUUGUAGAUAAAAGACGAGAAGACCCCAGGAGCUUUAAAAUUAGUUUUUGUUGGGGCAACACAGGAACAAGGAACUUCCUGAUGCUAAUAGGCUAGUCAAGUGGUUUUUAGAGCAAGCUACCCUGGGGAUAACAGCAUUAUUUUUUAAAAAGCUUGUGACCUCGAUGUUGGACUAGGGACUAUUAGACUAGAAGUCUAAUUAGCCGGUUCUGUUCGAACCUACCACCCCU